AAAAAACUGAAGAGAUUUACUCAGUCUUUUUAUGUAGCUCCUUUUGUGCUCCAGAGAGUGAGUGAGAGAGAGAGAGGCAAGAAGCUGCCCAAAAGGUGUGAAAGCUGGUUGAUCACGAGGAGGUGGACUCGAAUAGCUUAGGCUACUGCAGCUGUGAUCAUUUAGAACAUCUGUUGUUAUGCCCUUUCUCUGAUGCUGAGGCAUAGUGAAAUGCUUGUCUGAACCGAGAAAAUGGCGGUAAUUGAAAAGGUUAUUGUGGACUUCUGGAAACCGUAGUGCCAGAGAGCAGUGGCAACAUUGCCUCCAAGGAAACUGCUGCUGAGGUGCUUGCAACAUGCUGUGAUGGAAGACUUCCAGGAAUGUGUAGGUUUUAUUGUGGCAAAAACUGAGAGCCUGCACUGAAAAUUUUAAGUGCAAAUUCUUAACAAGAGUUCAGUUUGGGUAUGUGUGAAUGGGAAGAACAGUGGGCUGAAAAGUGAAUCUUUGCUAAAUGAUGGCAACCUGCAGGGGAAGUAAAGAGUCAAAAAUGCAACCUCCAUUUGUGUCAAAACGGUUUCAGGAAAAAGACAGAACAGAAAGAAGGAAGUUAAAAGAAAUAUUGGCAUCAAAUCUGGCAGACGAUCUGCUCAGGCUU